UACGAAGGGGGCUAGCGUUGCUCGGAAUCACUGGGCGUAAAGCGCACGUAGGCGGCUUGUUAAGUCAGGGGCGAAAUCCUGGAGCUCAACUCCAGAACUGCCUUUGAUACUGGCGAGCUUGAGUUCGGGAGAGGUGAGUGGAACUGCGGAGUGUAGAGGUGAAAUUCGUAGAUAUUCGCAAGAACACCAGUGGCGAAGGCGGCUCACUGGCCCGAUACUGACGCUGAGGUGCGAAAGCGUGGGGAGCAAACAGG
rnacentral:rRNA from 1 species